rnacentral:rRNA from 1 species
UGGGGAAUUUUGGACAAUGGGCGCAAGCCUGAUCCAGCAAUGCCGCGUGCAGGAAGAAGGCCUUCGGGUUGUAAACUGCUUUUGUACGGAACGAAAAGGUCUGGGUUAAUACCCUGGGCUCAUGACGGUACCGUAAGAAUAAGCACCGGCUAACUACGUGCCAGCAGCCGCGGUAAUACGUAGGGUGCAAGCGUUAAUCGGAAUUACUGGGCGUAAAGCGUGCGCAGGCGGUUUUGUAAGACAGGCGUGAAAUCCCCGGGCUCAACCUGGGAAUGGCGCUUGUGACUGCAAAGCUGGAGUGCGGCAGAGGGGGAUGGAAUUCCGCGUGUAGCAGUGAAAUGCGUAGAUAUGCGGAGGAACACCAAUGGCGAAGGCAAUCCCCUGGGCCUGCACUGACGCUCAUGCACGAAAGCGUGGGGAGCAAACAGGAUUAGAUACCCUGGUAGUCCACGCCCUAAACGAUGUCAACUGGUUGUUGGUCCUUAGCUGGAUCAGUAACGAAGCUAACGCGUGAAGUUGACCGCCUGGGGAGUACGGCCGCAAGGUUG